UCACUUAGCAGUAUAAAAUGACACGCGUGCCAUUGGAUUUUUGCAUUACCAGAGAAGAGCAGAGCUGUUAACUCAGGACAAAUGAACUUAUAACAAAAUAUUGCAUAUAGAGUAGUUUAAAGACUGUGGGAAUCAAGAACAGCCUUUCACCAUGGUUAUUCCAUAAAGCUGUUUGAAGAAUCUUGAGAGUGUGGGAUGGCUGAGAGUGUUUCUGCAAUGGAUAACCCUGAUGAGGAGGAACAUCAUGAAGAAAGAGAUUCCUUCCCUGACCCGUGCUGUGAGGAAGGAAAGAACAAUCCAGCAGCACCAGAGUCCGAACAUUUCACAGCUGCCUGGGCCUAGUGGCCCACAGGCGACGUUUAUCCAGCAACCAGAACCUUCAUCUGUGCCGGCCCCCAGGUCAAGAUCUACCGUGGCUCAACACCACAGCCAUCACCACCACCAAGGACCAGAGGACCAGCAUCACUACAGCAGCCUCCACCUCCAUCUGUGCCUGCCAUAAGAUUAAGAUACACCUCGGUACAAAGGCCUCCACCACAGCCAUCACGAUCAACCCAGCCAGCAAAGAAGUCUCGCCAGCACACGUACCUCCCACACAGCCACCAGCAUCAACCCGGGACAAUCCCACCUACCUCCCUCCGACACAGCCACCAGCAGCCCAUGCACCAUCACCCCCACCUACACAGCAGCCAGCCCCACUGCCUUGGAAGACGGACAAAGACCAUGACACUGCUCCCCCUGUCUUUACAUGUAUAAUGAAUAGUUGGUUGAGAAAGUUCUGAUAUUGUAAAUAUUGAAAUUUUACAGUUUCUUAUGUUAACAUAAAUAGUUGGUUGAAAAAAAAAGUUGUAAUGCUCAAUUUGUAUUUGUACACAUCACAUGAACCUCAGUAUGGAAUAUGAAGUCAUGAAUCAGUCCUGAUGUAACUUUUCUGUGGUGAAAGUAGAGUGAUAGAACAAUUUUACUUACUCCAAAUUCUAAUUUACACAUUUUCAUUUUAGACAUGAAUAACACAUUUAUGUAGGCCUAUAGUGUAAUUCAUAUAUUUCACUACUUUUGUGAACCAAAGACUUUGGUGAACCAAAUCUGAAACACCAAAAUAAAAGGAGGACAUGAGUAAAUCUGUGUUUCACAACAGUUUUGA